AUGUAAGACUAAGACAUACGUAACACGUUUCCUUGUCACUCCUUCGUCUCGUCUAUAAUAGAGAACUGGACGGAGAACUGAUAAGGGCUUGUGGGUAACACUACUUCCAUUGCUACAU
rnacentral:precursor_RNA from 9 species